rnacentral:rRNA from 1 species
GAUGAACGCUGGCGGCGUGCCUAAUACAUGCAAGUCGAGCGAACAGACGAGGAGCUUGCUCCUCUGACGUUAGCGGCGGACGGGUGAGUAACACGUGGAUAACCUACCUAUAAGACUGGGAUAACUUCGGGAAACCGGAGCUAAUACCGGAUAAUAUAUUGAACCGCAUGGUUCAAUAGUGAAAGACGGUUUUGCUGUCACUUAUAGAUGGAUCCGCGCCGCAUUAGCUAGUUGGUAAGGUAACGGCUUACCAAGGCAACGAUGCGUAGCCGACCUGAGAGGGGGAUCGGCCACACGGGAACUGAGACACGGUCCAGACUCCUACGGGAGGCAGCAGUAGGGAAUCUUCCGCAAUGGGCGAAAGCCUGACGGAGCAACGCCGCGUGAGUGAUGAAGGUCUUCGGAUCGUAAAACUCUGUUAUUAGGGAAGAACAAAUGUGUAAGUAACUAUGCACGUCUUGACGGUACCUAAGCAGAAAGCCACGGCUAACUACGU